rnacentral:rRNA from 1 species
GACGAACGCUGGCGGCGUGCUUAACACAUGCAAGUCGAACGGAAAGGCCCUGCUUUUGUGGGGUGCUCGAGUGGCGAACGGGUGAGUAACACGUGAGUAACCUGCCCUUGACUUUGGGAUAACUUCAGGAAACUGGGGCUAAUACCGGAUAGGAGCUCCUGCUGCAUGGUGGGGGUUGGAAAGUUUCGGCGGUUGGGGAUGGACUCGCGGCUUAUCAGCUUGUUGGUGGGGUAGUGGCUUACCAAGGCUUUGACGGGUAGCCGGCCUGAGAGGGUGACCGGCCACAUUGGGACUGAGAUACGGCCCAGCCUCCUCCGGGAGGCAGCAGUGGGGAAUAUUGCACAAUGGGCGGAAGCCUGAUCCAGCAACGCCGCGUGCGGGAUGACGGCCUUCGGGUUGUAAACCGCUUUCGCCUGUGACGAAGCGUGAGUGACGGUAAUGUGUAAAGAAGCACCGGCUAACUACGUG